GACGAACGCUGGCGGCGUGCUUAACACAUGCAAGUCGAACGCUGAAGCACCAGCUUGCUGGUGUGGAUGAGUGGCGAACGGGUGAGUAAUACGUGAGUAACCUGCCCUUGACUCUGGGAUAAGCCCGGGAAACUGGGUCUAAUACUGGAUGCUACAUGUCACCGCAUGGUGGUGUGUGGAAAGGGUUUACUGGUCUUGGAUGGGCUCACGGCCUAUCAGCUUGUUGGUGAGGUAAUGGCUCACCAAGGCGACGACGGGUAGCCGGCCUGAGAGGGUGACCGGCCACACUGGGACUGAGACACGGCCCAGACUCCGACGGGAGGCAGCAGUGGGGAAUAUUGCACAAUGGGCGAAAGCCUGAUGCAGCGACGCCGCGUGAGGGAUGACGGCCUUCGGGUUGUAAACCUCUUUCAGCAGGGAAGAAGCCACAAGUGACGGUACCUGCAGAAGAAGCGCCGGCUAACUACGUG
rnacentral:rRNA from 1 species